rnacentral:lncRNA from 1 species
CAGGUCCUCAAAAUACAACUAUUCAAAAUAAAGUGGAGUGGAAAGAUAUUUCCACUCAUUUACCAGCCAAAAGACUCCAAAUGCACAACAUUUACAAAAAUACAGCGAACCCGUGAUAUGGAUAUAUUUUUUGACAAGAGAUGUAUGAACUAUAUAAACUAACAAAACAAGUCAUACAACUAACGAUAAUGUGUGGCUCAACUUGCCAGAUCAACAAGCUCCAUUGUUGCUAAACUCAGUUACUAUCUGAUAAGAAAAA